rnacentral:rRNA from 1 species
UACGGAGGAUGCGAGCGUUAUCCGGAUUUAUUGGGUUUAAAGGGUGCGUAGGCGGAGAGCCAAGUCAGCGGUAAAAUCGUGGGGCCCAACCCCAUCCCGCCGUUGAAACUGGCUUCCUUGAGUGGAUGAGAAGUAUGCGGAAUGCGUGGUGUAGCGGUGAAAUGCAUAGAUAUCACGCAGAACCCCGAUUGCGAAGGCAGCAUACCGGCAUCCUACUGACGCUGAAGCACGAAGGCGUGGGUAUCAAACAGG